rnacentral:tRNA from 1 species
UGGCUCAGACGGUAAAGCGUCUGCCUGCAAUGCGGAAGACUCAGGUUCAAUCCCUGG